ensembl:lncRNA
AAUCAUUUAAGAGCUACACAAGAAAUGAUAGCGUCUAAUACUAAUACUAUUCAUAAUCCUGUGCACAAAGAUGUAGAGAUAAUACAGGAACUCCACUAGACGGAAGAAGUGUGUGAAGGAACAGGAUGAGUGUCUAAGCAGCAAGCAGGAGGAAGAUCAAAAAUAAUCAUAAUAAUUGUUGUUGUUGUUGUUGUUGUUUUAAAAAAAAAAUCCAGAUUGUGAGUAUCCAUUUGUGCAUAAUGAAGCUGCGGAGAAUGGAGCACUGGAGAACUGGUGAGCGUCUGAUGGAAGAGGAAAAGGAAGAGCGGAAUGAUGAGAAGGAGGUGGAGAAGAUGCAGCUUCUCAUAUACAGGCAGAUUUAUUUCAGGAUCUUUUUACACUCCAUUUACACUGAAGUGUGUGUGUGUGGGCGCGUGAAAAGCUGUUGUAGAUAUUGUAGGCUAUGUAUCUGCAACAUUAUUGCAUCUUGUUAGAACGUAUGUCCACACACACACACACACACACACGCACACACACUUAGUUAACACUAAUACAUUUGUGUGCUUUCACUUACUUUCUAUUUUCAG